CUGGGAGAAAAGUUUGACUUCACUGAACUGAACAUGAGGAACAUAAGAAAAUGGUGGUAUGCCAUACUGCUUGACAAUUUCUCUUUAGAACAUGGAAGGAAGAGAAAAAGAGCGGAUGUAGCUGAAGAAGAAAACUCUGUACUACCUGAAACUUCUGUCAAGAGGAAAGCAGAACAUGGAUAUGAACGUAUGUUG